GCCAGAGCGGCCGUGUGGCUGUGGCACUGGACAGCCACCGCCUCCUGCUGCAGCUGAGGAGGCAAAAGAUGGCUCUGCUGAAGAACAGCUUUAAAGUCUUCACCUUGUUGCUCUCACUGGCUCUCGCUGCUGUUUUCUGCGGGACUGCCCUGUCAGGAUGGUCGCUGAGGACAAAGGGACUCGUGGAGGUCAGUGACUGCUGUGGGACAGGCACCUCCUGCAAGGGAGU
rnacentral:lncRNA from 12 species